GGAAGCGUAGAGCUCGGAGCAUAGGUCACACUGGAAAGCGUUAAGUUUCUCCUUUCUAAGUCAGUGCUGCGUGGUCCACCUUUCUCCACCUUCUGGUGUGGGCGUCACUACGAACCUUAAAUCCCAGCAGCCGGCCCUCCGCCCCACGUAAAUCCAGACGUCGCCGUUUACAGGACAGACCUCUAAACAUUCAUUUUGUCUAAGGAAGAAGCCCUUAAGAGGCGAAAGAGGAAAGAACUGGAGUCUGCAAUGGCUCUUUCUCAGGAACAGUUGACAUUCAAGGAUGUGGCCAUAGAAUUCACUCAGGAGAAGUGGGAAUGCCUGGACUCUCCUCAGAGGGCCUUGUACAGGGACGUGAUGUUGGAGACCUGCAGGAACCUGCUCUCCCUGGUACGCAGGCCUCUCACCGUUGUGGCCUCUCCCGUUGCGGAGCACAGGUUCCGGACGCACAGGCUCAGUGGCCAUGGCUCACGGGCCCAGCUGCUCCGCGGCACGUGAGACCCUCCUGGACUGGGGCACAAACCCGUGUCCCCUUCAUCAGCAGGCGAACUCUUAACCACUGUGCCACCAGGGAAGCCCUGUGAUUGUAUUUUUAAAAUUAAUUAAUAAAUUAAUUUUUUUUGCUGA